UGUGCAUGUCAAUCGCAAAAGAGUGCCCCUGGAAUACAGACCUGGGCGAAUUAACUAUUACUAAAUCUUCAUUCCUUCUUUAAUACAUUUCAAUAUAAUACAGUGCGUUUUUCUUAUAUAACAAUGUUGUGUGAUGUGCCUCAUUUUGGAAGGUGCUGUUUUUGUUUGCCGCUACGUAUAGGUAUUUUGGUCUUCGGAUAUAUCAAUGCUGUCUAUGCGUUAUUAAUGAUCGUGGCAUAUAGUAUUUGUGUCCACCAUGAUUAUCAAGCUGUACUGCUGUACCACGGGACGUCACCGUUGCUGCCUGCAGAGAUAUGCCUCGUGCUGUUCAUUGUCGAAUUCCUCUUCACCAUUGCUUUACUCUACGGAGCACAUGCGAAACGGAUUUUGCAUUUGAAGAUAUAUUACUACUAUUCCUUGGCUACAGUAGUUGCCACACUCAUCAUUGAGAUUGUAGACGCGGCUGAUACCUUUAUGGGUUUGUGGAUGUUAGAAGUCCUUUCUGCAUUUAUCCUCGGACUAAUUUUGCACGUCUAUUUAAUACUGCUCGUGAGAAGUCUUCUAAAUAAGCUGAACACAGAAGGUGGAAGCUAUGAGAAUCGACUCCACGAUUUUGUCAAUGGCCAAGUACAGGUUGAUGCCAACGAAGUUUACCCAGCCACGACCCAGCCUAAAGAAAUAGUAUAAGAAAUAGUAUAUACGAUAGUAUAAGAAAUACCUACCUAUUUAUUAAGCAAUCAAUACUUUAUAUUAAAAUUUUCGACGGAACUAUUUAACUAAGAAAGGGGAUUGCCCAUUUGCCGCCUAGAUUGUUCACAUGCAUCAAAAUGAAAUGAAUAUAGUAAUUAUUAGCUGACCCAGCAAACAUUGUAUUAUCUAUCAUAUAAAGUAAUAAAAAAAAAUUUGGGUUAUAAAAAGUAGAUGCAACCGAACCUAUCAAAUUUAUUGUACUACAAUUAUUGUAUUCGAUUGCCAUCUUGCAACCCUAUAGCGGAUUUGUUGAUGUAAUAGAAUAAUAUAAAGAGGAUACAAAAAUAGUUGUAGAUCGUAGAAGGGCGAAAAUUUGAAGUUGUAUCAAUUUAUGAAUCUGAAUCAUAAUAAAAAAAAAUUAAUAAAAAUUGUCAAAAAUAUAAAAUAAAAUUUAGGGGUGGACUACUUAACAUUUGGGGGAUGAAAAAUAGAUGUUGUUCGAUUCUCAGACCUACCCAAUAUGCACAAAAAAAUUCAUGAGAAUCGGUCAAGCCGUUUUGGAGGAGUUUAACUACAAACACCGCGACAUGAGAAUUUUAUAUAUUAGAUUUGCUUCAUUUUGCCAUCAUCUGGCCAUCGGAAUCAAUGAUUUGAACAGGGGAUUCAAUUUAAGAUAAUAUAAAACAUUAUAUAGAUUUUCUGUAAAUGACAGUGACGGAAAUAGCGCCAUCAAUUUCUCUGCGUGUUGCGGUGUAACUAAUGAUUUUAAUUUAAAAUUUAUUGAAGCAGUCGUUACUUUACAGAAAUUCAUAAUUAUUCAAAUGAUUUGAGUUUUCUUUAGUGUUAAUUCCGCCAAUAUUUGUGUUUAAACAAUUCGAUAAUUAGUGUUUCGGCGCGAGACUCGUGCUAGAAUUUGGCGACUCAACAUGACCUAAGGAUGCCUUGUGUAGAGGCGAAACAUGUGUCGAAUUGUUUAAAGACUUAUAUUGGCAGAAUUAACACCAAAGAAAACUCAAAUCAUUUGGAUGAUUAUAAUUUUGGUACAUUUAUAGACACGAAUCGAUGUUUUUGUAUUUGAAUCUAUUUUGGCAAGAUCACAUACUCUGAAACCAGCCUCGUAAAAGUCUUUUUUAAGUAAUCGAAACUAAAAAGAUCUUUAUUUUUAUUUUUAUAAUACCUUAUCCCACAUUAUGUGGUCAGAUCCUUAUAAGCCCCUAUGUGGUGUCAGCACCCCAAUUUUAAAAAUUCAUUUUAAUACUCGUACUAGAUAUAAUAAAGUUUUUUUUUAUAAUCUUACUAUUUUGAUUGCUGUUAAUAACCUGCUAUUACGGUGUACAGACUUAAAUCUAUUACUUAGGCUGUGGUAAGCUAGAAUUGUAAAUAAUAUUAAGUUUGGAUAGCAUUUAUUGUAAAUUGUAUAAAAAUUUUUGAUAAUUA